UCAAAUGAAAAAGAACCAGUAAAAAGUCUUGAAGAUAGAAUUAAAAAAGCAAAGGACUUACAUAAAGGACGUGAAGAUACAUGGCCUAAAGAGGCAUAUAAAGAUGCUAUAUCAUGGGAAGAUUUCUUCAUAGGAAUAGCAAUACUAUCAAAAAAAAAGGCCAGGACAAUAUGACAGAAAACAAGGAUCCCCGACAGGAGCAUGCAUAGUGUCUUCAAGCAAACAAGUAAUGGCAGUUGGAUACAGUGGAUACCCUGAAGGCAUGGAACUUGGAGAGAUUGAACAGGAAAAAACUCAUAAAGAAUAUAUUACCCAUGCUGAAUACAAGGCAAUAAUAGGAGGACCAAUAGUUAGAGGAUGUACACUAUAUGUCACUUCAUAUCCAUGCGAUACUUGUGCUAAACUUAUAGUACAAUCUGGGAUCAGUGAAAUAGUGUAUAAAGAAGAUCAAGGACAUCCAAAUUCUAGAGAAAUUCUAAAACACUGUCUUGAAAGUAAAAACAAGAUACAUGUAAGGAAAUGCAACCCAG